rnacentral:misc_RNA from 1 species
GAGCUUGAGGUCGACUUUACGGCCAUUUAAGGCUCCCAUUCCCCUCCUGUACAUUAAUUGGUGAAAUCUGAAGAGCGUGGAACAGAACUGCAAAUACUUAGAGGAGAAAAUCAGCAACUUUACUACUAUCUUUAAAGACCAAACGACCAACCAGUCACAGAGAUAACAGAGACUAUAUAAUAACGAAGAUGUUGACUCCGUAUUUGGCAAAGACCUUGCGGACGAAAGC